rnacentral:rRNA from 1 species
CUCGUAGGUGGCCAACUAAGUCAGACGUGAAAUCCCUCGGCUCAACCGGGGAACUGCGUCUGAUACUGGAUGGCUUGAAUCCGGGAGAGGGAUGCGGAAUUCCAGGUGUAGCGGUGAAAUGCGUAGAUAUCUGGAGGAACACCGGUGGCGAAGGCGGCAUCCUGGACCGGUAUUGACACUGAGGAGCGAAAGCCAGGGAGCAAACG